rnacentral:rRNA from 1 species
UACGGGGGGGGCAAGCGUUGUUCGGAAUUACUGGGCGUAAAGGGCUCGUAGGUGGCCAACUAAGUCAGACGUGAAAUCCCCAGGCUCAACUUGGGAACUGCGUCUGAUACUGGAUGGCUUGAAUUCGGGAGAGGGAUGCAGAAUUCCAGGUGUAGCGGUGAAAUGCGUAGAUAUCUGGAGGAAUACCGGUGGCGAAGGCGGCAUUCUGGACCGACAUUGACGCUGAGGAGCGAAAGCCAGGGGAGCAAACGGG